rnacentral:rRNA from 1 species
ACGCUGGCGGCAGGCCUAACACAUGCAAGUCGAGCGGUAGAGAGAAGCUUGCUUCUCUUGAGAGCGGCGGACGGGUGAGUAAUGCCUAGGAAUCUGCCUGGUAGUGGGGGAUAACGUUCGGAAACGGACGCUAAUACCGCAUACGUCCUACGGGAGAAAGCAGGGGACCUUCGGGCCUUGCGCUAUCAGAUGAGCCUAGGUCGGAUUAGCUAGUUGGUGGGGUAAUGGCUCACCAAGGCGACGAUCCGUAACUGGUCUGAGAGGAUGAUCAGUCACACUGGAACUGAGACACGGUCCAGACUCCUACGGGAGGCAGCAGUGGGGAAUAUUGGACAAUGGGCGGAAGCCUGAUCCAGCCAUGCCGCGUGUGUGAAGAAGGUCUUCGGAUUGUAAAGCACUUUAAGUUGGGAGGAAGGGUUGUAGAUUAAUACUCUGCAAUUUUGACGUUACCGACAGAAUAAGCACCGGCUAACUCUGUGCCAGCAGCCGCGGUAAUACAGAGGGUGCAAGCGUUAAUCGGAAUUACUGGGCGUAAAGCGCGCGUAGGUGGUUAGUUAAGUUGGAUGUGAAAUCCCCGGGCUCAACCUGGGAACUGCAUUCAAAACUGACUGACUAGAGUAUGGUAGAGGGUGGUGGAAUUUCCUGUGUAGCGGUGAAAUGCGUAGAUAUAGGAAGGAACACCAGUGGCGAAGGCGACCACCUGGACUGAUACUGACACUGAGGUGCGAAAGCGUGGGGAGCAAAC